AGUAAGUGGAGAGAAACAGAUGGAGUCUGGUUGCAAGCCUUCGCGAAAUAAUACCUAGAGGAGAUCCCGCGGAGGACAGUGAUCUAGGUGAUGUGCGGAUUGAGAGGGGGAGGGUAGAUUUAGCACGUAGGCGCCAAGAAUGGUGAAACGUGCAUGCUGCUUUUACGGGCCAGCAGUACCUUUUGCAGGUUUCGGCCUUCACAUUC
rfam:Glossina austeni unplaced genomic scaffold Scaffold4, whole genome shotgun sequence.